rnacentral:lncRNA from 1 species
GGAGGCAGAGCCUAGGGUUUUGAUGGCAUCGUGGUGGCCGAGGACAAAAAUGUCAUUGAUAUUGGUGAUGUGUUGGUUUAUUUUGGACCGUUUUAUAAACUAACCCUCUAAUUUGCGAAAUAAACUUUUCAAAAUUAUAUUUGUAAAACUAACCCAGCUUUCGCCACAUAGGCGCACGGGUGGAAUUUUUUUAUAAAGAAGGUGAAUCGUUUACCGCUUUCAGUAAGGCGGUGAACGAUUCACCGUCCUACUAAUAUAAUUAGCAAAGACGGUGAAUGGUUCACCGUCUUUUGCUUAUUUAAUAUUUUUUCUAUAUUCCAUAUAAAAUCUUAACAACCACAUAAAAAUUACAACAAAUCACAUAUAAUCUUAACAACCUGAAAAUCCUAAUAAUCUAUCCAUACAAUUCUAACAUAAAAAUUACAACAAAUUAUAUAUAAUCUUAACAACUUAAAAAUCCUAAUAAUCUAUCCAUACAAUUCUAACAAUCAAAUUAAUAAAAAUUCCAAUAAUCAACGCAUACUAAAAAUCUCACUUUUUCCUAUUUUUCAUCUAACAACCUCACUUUUUUCUAUUUUUCAUAUAAUCCACGUAUAAUCCUGACAACCUCACUUUUUUAGGAUUAUACUUGGAUUAUUAGAAUUUUUAUUUGAUUGUUAGGAUUUUAUGGAUAGAUUAUUAGUAUUUUUAGGUUGUUAAAAUUAUAUGUGAUUUUUUAUAAUUUCUAUGUUGUUAUUAAGAUUAUAUAUGAGAUAUAAAAAAAUAUUAAAUAAGCAAAAGGCGGUGAACCAUUUACCGUCUUUACUAAUUAUAUUAGUAAGAUGGUGAAUCGUUCACCGCUUUACUGAAGGCAGUGAACGAUUCACUACCUUCAUAAGAAAAUUUUUUCCACCUGCCUACGUGACGAAAGGAGGAUUAGUUUUACGAAUAUAAUUUUGGGAAGGUUAUUUCAUAAAUUUUAAAAUUCUAGAGGGUUAGUUUAUUAAAAAGUCCGUUUAUUUUCUUCUCCUUGAUGGCAACGACUGCCUCUCAAAAUGUUAGAAGCAGCGGUGUAGGUGCUGGCACUACCAAAUGACUUCGAUAUCAACUAUAAAGAAUGAUCAAAACCUUAGGGAGGGGAAGGUAAGGAAGAAUGAGAGAGAUAGGAGAAUAGAGCAGUUGGCGAUAAUAUCGGCACUGUCACUAUCCUCGUCGAGGGCGUGUAAGGCGUGGUGAAGACGGCAGUCAAAGGCCUCCGAGUGGAGAGAGAGAGAGGGGGACAGGAAUAAUAGAAAGGAAGGUGCUGUAGAAGAUGAUAAAUAAUAAUUUAUGAAAAAAGACAAAACAAAGAAGAAGGAAGAGGAAAUCGAAAAAAAUAUUAAUUGGGGAGGAAAGAAGAAAGAGCUAGGAAAGAAGAGAAAACCGAAAAAGUAUUAAUCUAUACAUAUAAUAAAAGGCGAACCCUCAACAUGCCACGCGUCGCCUCCGCAGCGAAUCCCCGCCCUGCGGCGAGCUCCCUGCGUUUUGCGGGGGCCUCGCACGCGAGAGAGAGAGGGAGAGAGAGAGAACAGAGAGAGGAGAGAGAGAGCANUUAUUAUAUAUAAUUUUAUAUUUAAUUUUUUUUAUGUUUACAAUUUUAACUUAGAUCUUAAAAUAAAAAAAUUAAACAAGUUUGUUCAAAAUAUUUGGUAAAUUACAUAAAUUUCUGCUGCGAAGCGCGGGCCUUCACUAGUUAGGAAUGAAAGACCAAAGAGUAAGGAAAGAAGAGAAAACCAAAAAAGGCUAUUAAUUGGAGAGGAAAGACGAAACAGCGAGGAAAAUAGAGGAAACCGAAAAGUCUAGUCCUUUUUUUUACUUGUAGACAACAUAGAAGAGGAAAAGUGGACCGAACCCAAUAAUAAGAAGAUAAGAAAAACUGGUUCAAUACCGACCGUCCCUGGGGCAAGUGGCAAAAUGCUUGAUAGUUGGUACCCGAGGUCCCAAGUUCGGAUCCUAAUUGAUUCACAUUUCCAACUAAGUUUAUUUCUAAAAGAAAUGAACGAAGCGGGUAGCAUGCUACCUACCUCUCAAAAAAAAAAAAGAAAAGAAAAACUGGUUCAAUAUAAUAAAAAUAAUCGGUUUCAAAAGAAUAGAGCAGUGUGAGAA